CCGAUCAUACUAGGCAGAGUUAGCCGGGGUCCACUGUCCGGUCACAAAACAGAAAAACAGAGAAUACAUACUCUAUGAAUGUGACGACCGUCACAAAGCAUGUUACGACCGUCACAUCAAUAUUGUUACGAUCGUCACAGGCCCAUGACGAACGUCACGCGGCCAAAAUCAGCGCUUUGAACCAGUCAAUAGACGUGAUCCAACAAGCCCUCAAUUUACAACUCUUUGACAGCACAACCCUUGUG
rnacentral:lncRNA from 1 species